rnacentral:rRNA from 1 species
UACAGAGGUCUCAAGCGUUGUUCGGAUUCAUUGGGCGUAAAGGGCGCGUAGGCGGCGGGGUCAGUCGGGUGUGAAAUCUUGGGGCUUAACCCCGAAACGGCACUCGAAACUGCCCGGCUGGAGGGCCGGAGAGGAGAUCGGAAUUCACGGUGUAGCAGUGAAAUGCGUAGAGAUCGUGAGGAAGACCCGUGGGGAAGGCGGAUCUCUGGACGGCUAACUGACGCUGAGGCGCGAAGGCCAGGGGAGCAAACGGG